rnacentral:rRNA from 1 species
UACAGAGGGUGCGAGCGUUAAUCGGAAUUACUGGGCGUAAAGCGCGCGUAGGCGACUUCGCAAGUCGGAUGUGAAAUCCCCGGGCUUAACCCGGGAACUGCAUUCGAGACUGCGUUGCUAGAGUAUGGGAGAGGGAGGUGGAAUUUCAGGUGUAGCGGUGAAAUGCGUAGAUAUCUGAAGGAACAUCAGUGGCGAAAGCGACCUCCUGGACCAAUACUGACGCUCAUGUGCGAAAGCGUGGGGAGCAAACAGG